rnacentral:rRNA from 1 species
CCUACGGGUGGCAGCAGUGAGGAAUAUUCGUCAAUGGCCGGAAGGCUGAACCAGCCAAGCCGCGUGAGUGACGAAGGUGCCAAGCAUUGUAAACUUCGUUUUUCAAGGGACAAAAUCAGGCUCGAGAGCCUGACCGAGGGUACGGGAAGAAAAAGCAUCGGCUAACUCCGGGCCAUCAGCCGGGGUAAUACGGUGGAUGCGAGCGUUAUCCGGAUUUGUUGGGUUUAAAGGGUGGGUGGGCGGGCGUUUUAGUCAGCCGUAAAAUCCCGGGGGUCAACCCCGGCGGGGCAGUUGAAACGGGAUGUCUUGAGAGGUCAAGAGGAAUGCGGAAUGCGCAGUGUAGCGGUGAAAUGCUCAGAGAUUGCGCAGAACUCCAGUGGCGAAGGCAGCAUACCGGCGGGGAACUGACGCUGAGGCACGAAAGCGUGGGUAUCGAACAGGAUUAGAUACCCGAGUAGUC